rnacentral:tRNA from 1 species
GGGCACUUAGCUCAGUUGGUUUAGAGCUCCUGCCUUACAAGCAGGAGGUCACUGGUUCGAGUCCAGUAGUGCCCA